rnacentral:lncRNA from 1 species
CCCUGAGUCAAAACUCCCCAGCACUUGCUGAACAGCACAGAUGGAGAAGUUUCCAAGGGGAGAAGCCUAAAGGGUAGAGGACAGAAGUAGGAAAGUAUUGAGUGCUUUAAAAAUUCAAUGCUGUAUUUUUCUUGUGAUUGAAGGGAAUGAAUACUGUGUACCCAGACAGCAAUAAACCUUCAGCUGCAGACCACUGAAAGAAAUCUAUAGACCACCAGUGUGGGAAACCUCAGCUUUAAGCUCUAAAUGAUUCAACAUUUGUUCCCUCUGAUGACACCGCGAAUCUGGGAAUGAAGAACUUCUUAGAGCUGAUUGGAAAUGGCAUUGCAGAGCUGAAACUUAACUGGAG